rnacentral:lncRNA from 1 species
CUUUAAAACAUGGUAUAGUAUAAAUUUUUAAGUCUCUGAGAGUUCUGAAAGAUUCAGGUGAAACCAUGUCUGUUUAAUCUGGUCCAGAUGUUUGUUCAAUUUCUGUAAGAUUUAAGUUGAUGCAGCAUCAUCUCAGAUUAGUUAAUGGAAGUUUUAUACAAAUAGUUGAGUUAUGAGCGCGCUAUAUAAAUGGAUCCUUUCUUUAAAUAUAAUACUAUAGUAGAUUAAAGUAAUGAAGUUAAUUAAGAAAAUGUACACAUAAGAAUACCUAAAAUAAAUCUAAACUAAAAUUGGUAUACUUUCCAAUAAUAUGUUAUGAAUACAGCUGUUAACUCUUUAUUUUGUGUAAAUGGUGAUUGUGAUAAUGUGUGAUAAGUGUGCAGUUUAAUUUGAAAGUGGUUUAAUUUAUAUGUUGCUGUAUUGUUUUAAAUUAUAUGUGAAUCAGUUUGUCACAGUCUAGUGAUACUGAUAAGAAUGACAGCCAAAUAACCUAGCAAAUAACUGUUUUAUUAGUUGUUGAAUACUAGCGUUUUGGCCAAGAGUAGUUGGAGAUUUAGAGGUGUUAGUUUAAGAUUGCUUUUAUAUUGUGUCUAUCCGUGUUUCCUAGGAGGGAGACAGAGUGUGUAGUUGUGUGCCCAUAAAUGUGAUUUCUGUAUUGGCAUAUCUGCUGGGUACCCAUUAUGUGUUUUUACAAAAAUAUUGCUUUGUGAGAUGACGUGUAAUAUUACAUUGGAUGCUGAGUAUGAGUUAUAUGGUUUGAAAUGAAUUGGUGAUUAUGAGCUUAGUACUUCAGUAAGAUGUGCUAAAAUUUGGAACAAGGUGGAAGCUGAAAUGUUGGGAUUAUGGAAGAAUAGGUAGUCUAUAUUCACUGCUUUGGCAUAUAAGCAAGAUGCAAAGGAAGAGAUUGGUAAUAUGAUUUUUGUAAAGAAAUUUUACAAGUGUUGGAAGG